rnacentral:rRNA from 1 species
AUUGAACGCUGGCGGCAUGCCUUACACAUGCAAGUCGAACGGUAACGCGGGGCAACCUGGCGACGAGUGGCGAACGGGUGAGUAAUGCAUCGGAACGUGCCCAGUAGUGGGGGAUGGCCCGGCGAAAGCCGGAUUAAUACCGCAUACGACCUACGGGUGAAAGCGGGGGACCGUAAGGCCUCGCGCUAUUGGAGCGGCCGAUGUCAGAUUAGGUAGUUGGUGGGGUAAAGGCCUACCAAGCCUUCGAUCUGUAGCUGGUCUGAGAGGACGACCAGCCACACUGGGACUGAGACACGGCCCAGACUCCUACGGGAGGCAGCAGUGGGGAAUUUUGGACAAUGGGCGCAAGCCUGAUCCAGCCAUGCCGCGUGCGGGAAGAAGGCCUUCGGGUUGUAAACCGCUUUUGUCAGGGAAGAAACGCUCCGGGCUAAUACCCUGGGGUAAUGACGGUACCUGAAGAAUAAGCACCGGCUAACUACGUG